CAUACGCGUGUAGCGCGCGCUGACAGAGCGCGGAGCGCACGCAAUCCUCUUUCCCAAACCGCACCACGCCCACCAUUUCAUCUUCGACGAAGCGAUCGAGCGCGUCGGCCAGUCCUGACGUUACGCCGGCAGGCAAAUCGCACUGCGUAAUGUCGCCGUUCACAAUCACCGUGACGUUUUCACCCAGGCGGGUU
rfam:Pantoea sp. PSNIH2, complete genome.